GAACAUGGAACAGGUCUGGCUGGCUUGGCCUCCCAGCAGCCACCUAACAGUGCUUCCAUCCUCCCUCGAGUGAGAGAAAAGGACAAAGUGCAGGCACACAGAGGAGCAACAUGAAGACACAAGGUCAGUGAAGGGGAAGUUGAGUCCCAGAUGGGAGGGACGAGAAGAUGUCCUUGAUCUUGCGGCUGAAAUCCUCUUGUAAAGCUAUAGAGAAGGAUGUAAUUGAUACAUCAGACUCUCUUUUCCCCUAUAAUGCGUUGAAGUGUGUGGGGAGAUGACUUGUUCAGCAGAGGCCUCCAUGCUAAAGUAAGCAAAUGUUGAAAUAGCUGUGAUCCCAUUUGAACAGAGAAAGAGAGAAGAGUGAUGAGACUCUGUGCCCUCAGGGGGAGAAGAUGAUCUCUGUACUCAGAGAUGAAGAUGAUUUCAGAAGUAGGUGUAGAGAAUCUUUGAUCUUAAAAGCUCAUCUUUAAACUAAUACUCCAUAAGUUAACAUGACCCAUAAACACAACUGUGUGAAAAGCUGUGAAAAAAUGGGAGGAACUUCACUAUUGCAGAUUUUUUCCGGGUGGCUGCUAUUCAUGGAAAUUGAGAGCUAUGAGGGAACUGUUUUCUUAUGGUGAAGUCUCCAUAACAUUAACAAGAGUAAUUUCUCUACUAAGUGAACUGAAGAAAGACUAUUCGAGAGGUGGUAAAAUGACUGGAAAUAUUAGGUUUUGUCUCUUCAUAUUCUCAGUAAGAAAGAAAAGGUUGUAGGGAGAAGUGUUCUGAAACUUCUGUUCUGAUUCUCAUUACUCUUUCUUGUAGUUAUUGUUAAUAAAAUUUUCUUUAUGCCUU